CCAGCCAUGCCGCGUGAUGAUGACGGCCCUAUGGAUGGUAAGCUGUUUUUACGCGAAAAAAAAUGCUCCUUCCUGGAGGAAUUUCACCGGCUCGCUUCAAGCCAGAUCCGCUGACUCCGCGACAGCGGCCACGGUUGUACGGAAGAUCCGGGCGUUAUCCGGAAUCAUUGGGAUUUAUGGGUCCGGAGGGAGACCCCUAAGCUCAUGUCUGGAACUGCUUUUUAAACUGGGGAACUGGCGUUGGGACUGCGGGACUGGAAUUGCUAGGGAGUAACUGAAAUAUGUAGUGUAGCGGUGAAAUGCUUAGAGAUUACAUGGAAUACCAAUUGCGAAGGCAGGUUACUACUAGUGGAUUGACGCUGAUGGACGAAAGCGUGGGUAGCGAACAGGAUUAGAUACCCUGGUAGUCCACGCCGUAAACGAUGGAUACUAGCUGUUGGGGGCAACUUCAGUGGCUAAUCGAAAGUGAUAAGUAUCCCACCUGGGGAGUACGUUCGCAAGAAUGAAACUCAAAGGAAUUGACGGGGGCCCGCACAAGCGGUGGAGCAUGUGGUUUAAUUCGAUGAUACGCGAGGAACCUUACCAAGGCUUAAAUGUAGUUUGACCGUUUUGGAAACAGAACUUUCGCA
rnacentral:rRNA from 1 species